UGAGGAAUAUUGGUCAAUGGACGGAAGUCUGAACCAGCCAAGUAGCGUGCAGGAUGACGGCCCUAUGGGUUGUAAACUGCUUUUGUAUGGGGAUAAAGUUAGGGACGUGUCCCUAUUUGCAGGUACCAUACGAAUAAGGACCGGCUAAUUCCGUGCCAGCAGCCGCGGUAAUACGGAAGGUCCAGGCGUUAUCCGGAUUUAUUGGGUUUAAAGGGAGCGUAGGCCGGAGAUUAAGUGUGUUGUGAAAUGUAGACGCUCAACGUCUGACUUGCAGCGCAUACUGGUUUUCUUGAGUACGCACAACGUUGGCGGAAUUCGUCGUGUAGCGGUGAAAUGCUUAGAUAUGACGAAGAGCUCCGAUUGCGAAGGCAGCUGACGGGAGCGCAACUGACGCUGAAGCUCGAAGGUGCGGGUAUCGAACAGGAUUAGAUACCCUGGUAGUCCGCACAGUAAACGAUGGAUGCCCGCUGUUGGUACCUGGUAUCAGCGGCUAAGCGAAAGCAUUAAGCAUCCCACCUGGGGAGUACGCCGGCCGG
rnacentral:rRNA from 1 species